GAAUUACUGGGCGUAAAGCGCACGCAGGCGGUUUGUUAAGUCAGAUGUGAAAUCCCCGGGCUUAACCUGGGAACUGCAUCCAAUACUGCAAGGCUAGAGUAUGGUAGAGGGAAGUGGAAUUUCAGGUGUAGCGGUGAAAUGCGUAGAGAUCUGGAGGAAUACCGAUGGCGAAGGCAGCCAUCUGGCCUAAUACUGACGCUGAGGUACGAAAGCAUGGGGAGCAAACAGGA
rnacentral:rRNA from 1 species